CCCCUAGAUGUUCUGGGCCGCACGCGCGCCACACUGACCAGUGCAACAAGCAUCCGUCCUUGGCCGACAGGCCCGGGCAAUCUUUGAACGCUGGUCGUGAUGGGGAUAGACUUUUGCAAUUUUUGGUCUUCAACGAGGAAUUCCUAGUAAACGCAAGUCAUCAACUUGCAUUGAUUACGUCCCUGCCCUUUGUACACACCGCCCGUCGCACCUACCGAUUGAAUGGUCCGGUGAAGCCUCCGGAUUGGCGCGCACCUCGGUGCCGCCGAGAAGUUGGCUAAACCUUACCAUUUAGAGGAAGGUGAAGUCGUAACA
rnacentral:rRNA from 1 species